rnacentral:misc_RNA from 1 species
GAUUGUGGGAGAGAGGUUAGAAGCUAGAGGGCUUUAUCUUCAUCAUGUGCCUUCACACUAAUGCUGGCCUAUUGGAUAAUUAAUUUUUUGAAGACAUUAAGGUGAUCUCUAACAUCUGUACAUUCCUCUAUUCUGAAUUUUUCAAACAUCAGACAUUAAGGUGAUCUCUAACUGCGGUAAUUUUGGAUGAUAAGAAGUUGAAAAUGCCUAAUAGUAGCAAUAAAGAUAGAAUUUUUGUUGAUAGUUCUAGUUGUGAUAAAAGCAAGUCACG